CUACAUGAAGCCGGAAUCGCUAGUAAUCGCGGAUCAGAAUGCCGCGGUGAAUACGUUCCCGGGCCUUGUACACACCGCCCGUCACACCAUGGGAGCCGGUAAUACCCGAAGUCAGUAGUCCAACCUCGUGAGGACGCUGCCGAAGGUAGGAUUGGCGACUGGGGUGAAGUCGUAACAAGGUACC
rnacentral:rRNA from 1 species